GCCAGCAUGGUGUAGUGGUAUGAACCGUUGGACUAUGAUUCUGGAGACUAGGGUUCGAAUCCCGACUCAGCCA